GACUCCAGAACCUCAUUUUCAAAUCCUGAUUUCUUUAUUUUCUGUGCAUUCCUUUCCUAUCUAGGGAAAUGCGCUUAUCAUUAUGUUAAUGAUAAAACUGAUAAGAUGCGGAUAGCGCGCUUUUGAUCGCGUCAUAAAAGAUCGCCGAAAUCACGUUUAGUACAUUUAUGUUGCGGAGGAUCAUUCAAUGAGCCAAAAAAACUACCCAUCAUUGAUUAAUCUCCAAUUGGAAUAGGUCUCAUUCCCAUUCUGGAAUUCGAACCUGCUACCUAUCUAGUACUCGGAAUCGAAUCAUGACAAAACUUUUAAAUCACGUACCUUAGUUGCCAUGUAUUUUUCUCUCACAUUGGACACGUGUACAAUUCGAAUUUGGUUUCUUUGCAGCAAAGGAGGAAGAAGGGCUUGGCUGAAGUGCUCCUUGUCAAAGUCUAAAUUGGGGGUGUGGAAAUAACAGACGAAAGGUUGGGGUCGUGAAGGAUGAGUUCUUGUGCCUUCUAAUUAUACACAGACAAAAUGGUCAAACGUUUAUCAAUCGAUAUGGGUGGGAGAUCAUAGAUAUUUCCGUACUUAAAUAUCUUCUUUACGUGCGCUUUUUGGUACUACCACAAAUGGACUAUCACAGAGAAGCAAGCUUUUUGUUGUAGAGUCGUACUAAAAUGUUGCCAAUGAAGACUCCAGUCCCCGUAGAACGGAUAAAAAAUCAUCUUAGGACCACCCUUGGCCUUGGAACACACUCCAAAGCCAAUCAAUUCAUUAUAUAUAUAAUCCAGAUCAAACGCAAAUUCAAGUGGCAGGUCUUUUCCCAUCAUGAGGUUUCUGAAACGGGACGGUUCAAGCUUCAGAUCAAGUAUCAAUCAAAGGCCUCCUUAGCGGUCUUACCAUCCUUUGUGGGAGAAGCAGAACCUGUAUUUGAGUCUACGGUGGAGGCUGCUGGGUUGUUAUCAAAAUCCGCCCAACCCGUUUCGGUCACGGGUGUGGCCACGGGCGAGGGUUUCAAGGGUGACUUGGGGUCGGUGGCCGAGUCCCACGGAUUGCCCGUGUCCAUGGUCGCACCAGUCAUGGCAGGAGGUAUAUCUUCCACCUCAUCAGGAGUAGGCCAAGCUGGACGGGAAAGGACCAAAGAUAGGUUUAGUUACUUAAGUUGCGAGAGUUCAAAUACUGACGCUUUUUGUAAGGUAACAGAGGUUAAGGUUUAUAAUUCUAAGGAAUUUUUCCCAGUCAUAUGCCCGUAUUGAAUUCUUUCAAUUAGCUCCAAGUUAAUGAACAGGUCUUUUGUUUACUUUUUUUUGAAGGCAAAUGAUAAAUUACAAGGAAAAGGUUCCCAGGAAGUUACCUUAGACGGACUCUUACCAUUGUCUACAUCCAUUUUCUUUUCAGAGGAAGACUUGGUUGAGUUGCUUCUAACAUUGUCUUCAUCCUCAUCGUCGUCAUCAUCACGAUCCUCAUCAUCAGAGGAAUUGAUUUGCGUCACACUUUGUUUCGGGAUGGGUUCAA